rnacentral:rRNA from 1 species
UGGGGAAUUUUGGACAAUGGGCGAAAGCCUGAUCCAGCAAUGCCGCGUGUGUGAAGAAGGCCUUCGGGUUGUAAAGCACUUUUGUCCGGAAAGAAAUCCUUGGCUCUAAUACAGUCGGGGGAUGACGGUACCGGAAGAAUAAGCACCGGCUAACUACGUGCCAGCAGCCGCGGUAAUACGUAGGGUGCAAGCGUUAAUCGGAAUUACUGGGCGUAAAGCGUGCGCAGGCGGUUUGCUAAGACCGAUGUGAAAUCCCCGGGCUCAACCUGGGAACUGCAUUGGUGACUGGCAGGCUAGAGUAUGGCAGAGGGGGGUAGAAUUCCACGUGUAGCAGUGAAAUGCGUAGAGAUGUGGAGGAAUACCGAUGGCGAAGGCAGCCCCCUGGGCCAAAUACUGACGCUCAUGCACGAAAAGCGUGGGGAGCAAAACAGGAUUAGAUACCCUGGUAGUCCACGCCCUAAAACGAUGUCAACUAGUUGUUGGGGAUUCAUUUCCUUAGUAACGUAGCUAACGCGUGAAGUUGACCGCCUGGGGAGUACGGUCGCAAAGAUUAAAAACUUAAAGGAAUUGACGGGGUCAUAGCUGUUUCCU